rnacentral:tRNA from 1 species
GGAAGCGUGGCAGAGCGGUUCAUUGCACCUGUCUUGAAAACAGGAGGUCCAUAACGGACCCGUGAGUUCGAAUCUCACCGCUUCCUCCA